rnacentral:rRNA from 1 species
GGAAUCUUCCACAAUGGGCGCAAGCCUGAUGGAGCAACACCGCGUGAGUGAAGAAGGGUUUCGGCUCGUAAAGCUCUGUUGUUAAAGAAGAACACGUAUGAGAGUAACUGUUCAUACGCUGACGGUAUUUAACCAGAAAGUCACGGCUAACUACGUGCCAG